UGCAGUGCAUAGAUUGACUUGGACACUCAUUAAUUUCACAUAUGCACCAAACUUGAGCCGAAUUUUCAUCUUCAAGAAACAGAAACUCGAAAGACCCUGCAAUAGACGUCAUCGCCAUCCAGAUAGACUCGAUAAGCUUUGUCUCUUGUCUCUUGGAGAUAUCUCUAGCGUGAUUAUCAAUCUAGGACAGAGAUCGAAUCGGGGAUGGAAACUAGCCAUUUCAGUCCGAUCUUGUUGAACUCGUACUAUUCCUGCUUAUCGAAGAUUCGAAGCCUCAGCUUUGUUAGGAUUGCAUCUCUUUGGAACCCGGAAUUGGUAACAACUCCAACCACAAGUUAAUCAUCAAGGUAUAAGUGCAAGCAGGGACUUCGACAGCAAGUGUAGGCAGGAACUUUGACAGAAAAAGCCAUUUCCUUGCUGGGAUUUGGUGGAGGAAGUGAUUCCAGAUUUCUUGUGGAGAAGUGAACAAGCUUCUGUAUUAUCAGCUUAGUCUCAAGUUUCUGAUUUCCUUUCCUCCUUGAUUGCAGGCUAGCUACUGGUCUGUUCUUUGUGUGGCUUGUUUUGCAAGUGGUGCAAGACCAUUUGUUUUGUUGCGUUGGAAAGGAAGGCAGGAGGUAGGAGGCUUCUUGGCGGUGGCCUUGCUAAUUUUUGGAACCAGUGAGAGUCUUUGUGGAAGAAAAGAGGCAUUGGAGCCUUGUUUUCACACUGUUCGGAGGUUUGCUGACACUUUGGAGUGCCAUCACAAGGUUCUGAAUACAACCUUGAUGGAGAUGUAUUGGAUUCGCUGCUGCAACGUAUUCCAUCGGAUUGGUCAUACUCUCGUUGAUACAUAAACACUACUACACAAAGUGAAUCACACGACAUGUAACAGACGACAUACGAUAUUUUGGUGUCGUCUGAGUUAGUCAGACGACAUAUUAGUUAUACUUGUCGUUUCUUCUCAAAAUCAGCCAACACAUUGUAAUCAAUUGGAGUUUGGUGAAAUUGAUAACUGUAAGACAAUAGUUAUUAGGACAUGUGUUGUCUGAGAAAUCAGAAAAAACAAAAAAGUUUAAUUUAUAUUUAUUUUUGUA